UCCUUAGGAGUUCUACUGCGAGUCUUCCAAAACCUGGAGACGUUUAAAGGCUCAGGAAUCGUGUGGUUAUGUGAAAAUCUUGUCUCUUUCCUCCUUUAUAGAAAAAAUAUUUUCCUGUUCUUGUGGCUGAGAUAAAGUACAAAAAUAUGAACUGGAGCAAUGUGAAACCCAGAAACAGCAGCUUUCCUGGAUGAUUUUUAGGUGCUGCCUCAGGCCAGGGAGACACAAGCUGUGAUUUCCUAAUGGUCAAGAUUAAAGUCCUCUUUCUGCCCAGGUUGAAGGAGUUGGGACCAAGCCUCUGCCCCAGCCGAAGGAUGUGCUCGGCUGCAGCCGCUGAGCUCGGCUAAGCCGAAGGCUGGGAGAGAAGCGCUGGAUGGCAAAGCUCAGGAACAGCCUUAAGAAAGCAGAGCCGAGAGCAAAUACUCUGUGCACAUUGAGCGAGCCCCCCCUGCAUGUUUACAGAAUAAGUUACCAAAUAACCAGUGUCUGGGGGAUAUCUGGUGAGCCCUUGAAACGAACGCUGGUGUUUUGAUCAGCGCCAUCGAUCUGCAGCCGCCGCGCGGUGCUUACGUGGAUUUGGAGGUUGAAAGGCGCUCGGUCGCAGUUCACAGUUUGUUCACAGACAAAUCCUGCUGGUGGGGUUCUUUGUGGGCCUUUCUUCUCGGGAAGAGCCUGCUCAGCACGUCCAGGGCUUGCAAAGGCAAAGGCAAUAGGUGCAAAUUGCUUCUUGGUGAAGGGAUGGAGAAGUCCAACCGGAACCGCAGGGAAGCGAGGGAGCUGAAUAAAAGGCCCAUCUGAUCCCCAGGUCUUCACCUCAUCCUCUGGCUUCCUUAGAGACCCAAACCCAUGACCUGGGUCAGACAAGGGGCCAGGUUCUAGGAUGUGGAGUUUGGGUGCUGAAGGGGAAGACAGCAGUUUGCUCUGGUCUGGGUCUGUCCUGGCUUUCCAGAAAGUGUUGGCCCAUGGACUGUUUUGCUUCGAAAAUAAGAGUAAAUCAAUGGCUUCUCUUGGCUUGGGUGAGCUUGGGAAUGGCUGUGAUUUAUAGGCCUCUGGUUGGUUGGAGUUUCAGGCUUGCCUGAAGCCUGGGUGAUGCCACAAAGGAAGGAAAACCCCAAACCCCAGCUAACUGAAACCAAUGGAGUCGUUACUUAGGUGUGGGCCGUGUGCUCCAUUUGCGGAUCCUUCCUGAGGUCCCCAAGUGUCAGAGCUCACUUUUGGGUCAGUUUUGCUCCCCACCCUAGAAAGGUGUCCAUGAAGCAGGACAGAGCAGCGCUCCGCUUUGCUCCCCAGGAAGCACCAGGGCUGGUGCAGCCGGUGCAGCACCCGCAGCAUCCUCUGCUGCAGCUCCUGGUGCAGCCUUCCCUCCACAUCCCGUUUCUUCCCCCCUUUCUCUUUCUUUCUUCCGUUUUAUUGCCUCGAUCAUCUCUGGACACUGGUUUCACUUUGAUCUCUGGAAACUUUGGCAUCGCUCCGAAAAAAUAUAUGUAGAUAUUGGGAAAGAAAAAAAAAAGGAGAAUAAGGGAAAAGCCGAGUCUUUGUUCCCCACAGCUGUUGUCAUGCUGGAGCAAAUCUCCACACAGGUAUUAAAUGCUCACCAUUGAUCAAACAGCUGGUGGUCCAGCGUUACCGGCACGGACCUGCUGAAGCCGAGUUAUUUACACGAGAAAUCAUUUGGUUCCUGAGGUCUUGCUUGAGUUAAAGAGAAAAAAAACCCUAAAAUCACAGAGUGGUGGGGAGCAGAGCUGGAGAUGUGGGGUGCUGCGGGGCAGGGCAGAGCUGUUGGUGCCACUAAAUCCUGGGCUGUGGCUGCCCUGCUUCCUCCCCAUGGGUACCCCGAAAACACUCAGCCCUCCAACCAUCACUGGAACCCUCAGCCUUGCAGCUCCCACAGUCCCAUUGCCCGUCCUGGGACAUCCCACUGAGGACAUGGAGGGAGACCCGCUGCAGCCGGGAGAUGGAGCCCGGCGGGCGGGUACAGGAGGGAGAGGCUGGGGCAUCGUCUGGCUCCCACAUGUGCCUGGGUUGUUAGGAAGAUUUAUAGGGGAGAAUGCGAGGCUUUUUCUCUUUGGCUUUAUAAUAAUACAUUAGGCUUUUAACCUCUGACCGGGAGCUCUGGGAGGGGGAUGCUCCAGGCAGCCCCCGGGAAGGGGAGCGGGUGGGUUGGGGUCCUGGGGGGCCGGGUGCGAUGCCGAAGGGGUUAAUGCGAUGUGGAGGAAUGCUGGAGUUUAACAGGAGGCGUCGGCUGUCUUGAGGUCACCUGCGAGGGAUUAGCGGGCGCAGACAGUUGUUGUUUGAGGACUGUCUGAGGCCAGGGAAGGGGUGGCGAGGCCCCAGGGCAGAGGGGGCUGCAGCCCCACCAGAGGGAUCUUCCCUGUCAGCCUGACUGUGAACUGGUGUCUUUUCUGCUAAGGAAAUUAAUCCAUCACCAUUGGGAAGAGAAGGAACGGGGACCAGUGGCAAGGGGGGGAAGUUGGGGUGCAAACUGUACCAGAGCCCAGGUGGGCAGCAGAGAUGCUGAGGAGGAAUUGAAAUGUUGCAGGCAUGGCCAGGACUCACCAGGCUGUCCAUGCGUGAGCUCCUUCCAGAACAAGGGCUGCAAGACAGCUCCCUCCCGUGAGGACCAUGAGAUAACUGGUCCUUGCCGGUGUGCGCCCAGGUGUGCAAGGGCAGCGUGGAGGGAUCUCCGUGUUAGCUCUGAGUAUGAGCAACCUGAGGUUUUACACACCUUCCAUCACCACAACUGACUCACAGGCUUGGCUGGGGCUGUGGGACCUGCCUCGUUGCUGCCUUGAUCCCAAAUCCCUGUAAAACUGCUUUGUCCUCCAUCCAUGGCUGUGCCCUCUCUGAAGCCGGAUCAGGAGAUCCGUGCUCCUUCCCAAUGGCUUGGGAGUUGAAUCAACACGUGACUUUUUUGCUGUACCUCUUGCUGUAGUAUCUGCACCCUCUGCAGAUGAAAGGUAUUAGAUGAGGAUAAAUUCUUAAUCAUCACAAAAAUCAAUCAUUCCUUACCUAUAAUUUAGUUGAAAUUAAUCCAGCAGACGAGCAAAGGGCCAAAUGCUAAGCUGUGUCCUGGGUCUCUUUAUUGACUCGGAAGGAGAGCAUCUUCCAUUCCAAUCAAGAGCAAAGCUUGACAACCUGCACCCAGAAGUUUUCCAUUCUGAAAGGGAGAGCACAAAGAAAAACCCCACAGAAUAAAUAACCUUAUUCUUUAAAGAAACAUCCUGAUUUUUCUCUGGUUGGGGCUGGAUCUGACUCAUGGUUUGACAUGCUGGAGGGAGGGUGCGGAGCUGUAAGAAGUCAGGAACACCCUGUGCUUACCUGCAGGAGGUUCAGCCUUGUGGUUUAUUUAAAUAUAGGAGCCCAAUUUGCAUUUCAGGGCUUGUAGCAGCCCUUAAACAUUGGGUUUAUUUACAUGAAGGAGACCUCUCCUUGGUGAGAGCAGAGCAGGUUUGGUGAUAAAGCAGAGGCCGUGUGGCCCAAACUGCUGGAGAGACCUUCUAAGGCAAAGAGGCUCCCUGGGGCUAAUGGGUGCUUUUAUUGUACCAGCCCUGUAAUAAAACACAAAAUAAAGCAAUUUUAUUGAAA